UACAGGGGGUGCAAACGUUGCUCGGAAUCAUUGGGCGUAAAGCGCACGUAGGCGGUUCGUUAUGUCGGAUGUGAAAGCCCUUGGCUUAACCGAGGAAGUGCAUCCGAAACUGGCGAGCUAGAGUACUAAAGAGGAUCGCGGAAUUCCUGGUGUAGCGGUGAAAUGCGUAGAUAUCAGGAGGAACACCUGUGGCGAAAAGCGGCUCACUGGACCAUAACUGACGCUGAUGCACGAAAGCUAGGGGAGCAAAACAGG
rnacentral:rRNA from 1 species